rnacentral:rRNA from 1 species
GGGUUGUGAGGUUAAGCGACUAAGCGUACACGGUGGAUGCCCUGGCAGUCAGAGGCGAUGAAGGACGUGCUAAUCUGCGAAAAGCGUCGGUAAGGUGAUAUGAACCGUUAUAGCCGGCGAUGUCCGAAUGGGGAAACCCAGUGCAAUUCGUUGCACUAUCGUUAACUGAAUACAUAGGUUAACGAGGCGAACCGGGGGAACUGAAACAUCUAAGUACCCCGAGGAAAAGAAAUCAACCGAGAUUCCCCCAGUAGCGGCGAGCGAACGGGGAGCAGCCCAGAGUCUGAAUCAGCUUGUGUGUUAGUGGAACGGUCUGGAAAGUCCGACGGUACAGGGUGAUAGUCCCGUACACCAAAAUGCACAGGUUGUGAACUCGAAGAGUAGGGCGGGACACGUGGUAUCCUGUCUGAAUAUGGGGGGACCAUCCUCCAAGGCUAAAUACUCCUGACUGACCGAUAGUGAACCAGUACCGUGAGGGAAAGGCGAAAAGAACCCCGGCGAGGGGAGUGAAAAAGAACCUGAAACCGUGUACGUACAAGCAGUGGGAGCACCUUCGGGUGUGACUGCGUACCUUUUGUAUAAUGGGUCAGCGACUUAUAUUCUGUAGCAAGGUUAACCGUAUAGGGGAGCCGCAGGGAAACCGAGUCUUAACUGGGCGUUAAGUUGCAGGGUAUAGACCCGAAACCCGGUGAUCUAGCCAUGGGCAGGUUGAAGGUUGGGUAACACUAACUGGAGGACCGAACCGACUAAUGUUGAAAAAUUAGCGGAUGACUUGUGGCUGGGGGUGAAAGGCCAAUCAAACCGGGAGAUAGCUGGUUCUCCCCGAAAGCUAUUUAGGUAGCGCCUCGUGAACUCAUCUUCGGGGGUAGAGCACUGUUUCGGCUAGGGGGUCAUCCCGACUUACCAACCCGAUGCAAACUACGAAUACCGAAGAAUGUUAUCACGGGAGACACACGGCGGGUGCUAACGUCCGUCGUGAAGAGGGAAACAACCCAGACCGCCAGCUAAGGUCCCAAAGUCAUGGUUAAGUGGGAAACGAUGUGGGAAGGCACAGACAGCCAGGAUGUUGGCUUAGAAGCAGCCAUCAUUUAAAGAAAGCGUAAUAGCUCACUGGUCGAGUCGGCCUGCGCGGAAGAUGUAACGGGGCUAAACCAUGCACCGAAGCUGCGGCAGCGACACUAUGUGUUGUUGGGUAGGGGAGCGUUCUGUAAGCCUGCGAAGGUGUGCUGUGAGGCAUGCUGGAGGUAUCAGAAGUGCGAAUGCUGACAUAAGUAACGAUAAAGCGGGUGAAAAGCCCGCUCGCCGGAAGACCAAGGGUUCCUGUCCAACGUUAAUCGGGGCAGGGUGAGUCGACCCCUAAGGCGAGGCCGAAAGGCGUAGUCGAUGGGAAACAGGUUAAUAUUCCUGUACUUGGUGUUACUGCGAAGGGGGGACGGAGAAGGCUAUGUUAGCCGGGCGACGGUUGUCCCGGUUUAAGCAUGUAGGCUGGUUGUCCAGGCAAAUCCGGAUAAUCAAGGCUGAGGUGUGAUGACGAGGCACUACGGUGCUGAAGUAACAAAUGCCCUGCUUCCAGGAAAAGCCUCUAAGCAUCAGGUAACAUCAAAUCGUACCCCAAACCGACACAGGUGGUCAGGUAGAGAAUACCAAGGCGCUUGAGAGAACUCGGGUGAAGGAACUAGGCAAAAUGGUGCCGUAACUUCGGGAGAAGGCACGCUGGUGUGUAGGUGAAGCCCCUGCGGGUGGAGCUGAGACCAGUCGAAGAUACCAGCUGGCUGCAACUGUUUAUUAAAAACACAGCACUGUGCAAACACGAAAGUGGACGUAUACGGUGUGACGCCUGCCCGGUGCCGGAAGGUUAAUUGAUGGGGUUAUCCGUAAGGAGAAGCUCUUGAUCGAAGCCCCGGUAAACGGCGGCCGUAACUAUAACGGUCCUAAGGUAGCGAAAUUCCUUGUCGGGUAAGUUCCGACCUGCACGAAUGGCGUAAUGAUGGCCAGGCUGUCUCCACCCGAGACUCAGUGAAAUUGAACUCGCUGUGAAGAUGCAGUGUACCCGCGGCAAGACGGAAAGACCCCGUGAACCUUUACUAUAGCUUGACACUGAACAUUGAGCCUUGAUGUGUAGGAUAGGUGGGAGGCUUUGAAGCGUGGACGCCAGUCUGCGUGGAGCCAACCUUGAAAUACCACCCUUUAAUGUUUGAUGUUCUAACGUUGGCCCCUUACCGGGGUUGCGGACAGUGUCUGGUGGGUAGUUUGACUGGGGCGGUCUCCUCCCAAAGCGUAACGGAGGAGCACGAAGGUUAGCUAAUCCUGGUCGGACAUCAGGAGGUUAGUGCAAUGGCAUAAGCUAGCUUGACUGCGAGCGUGACGGCGCGAGCAGGUGCGAAAGCAGGUCAUAGUGAUCCGGUGGUUCUGAAUGGAAGGGCCAUCGCUCAACGGAUAAAAGGUACUCCGGGGAUAACAGGCUGAUACCGCCCAAGAGUUCAUAUCGACGGCGGUGUUUGGCACCUCGAUGUCGGCUCAUCACAUCCUGGGGCUGAAGUAGGUCCCAAGGGUAUGGCUGUUCGCCAUUUAAAGUGGUACGCGAGCUGGGUUUAGAACGUCGUGAGACAGUUCGGUCCCUAUCUGCCGUGGGCGCUGGAGAAUUGAGGGGGGCUGCUCCUAGUACGAGAGGACCGGAGUGGACGCAUCACUGGUGUUCGGGUUGUCAUGCCAAUGGCACUGCCCGGUAGCUAAAUGCGGAAGAGAUAAGUGCUGAAAGCAUCUAAGCACGAAACUUGCCCCGAGAUGAGUUCUCCCUGAGACUUUAAGUCUCCUGAAGGAACGUUGAAGACGACGACGUUGAUAGGCCGGGUGUGUAAGCGCAGCGAUGCGUUGAGCUAACCGGUACUAAUGAACCGUGAGGCUUAACCUUACAACGCCGAAG